GGGCGUCCUGGUUUCCGGUUUGGGUGCGGCCGCAUGGCGUGCUGUGGUGCAGGUGGCCGAAGGGGGCGUUACUGUUGCGACUGGCAUCCGCAUCCGGCAGAUGUAGCUGGAACCAAAGUCCACAAGUUACGCGUCACCCUUGCUCUACAGCCAAACAUGCAGGACUCUAGUAACCUGCGAAAUGAUGGGAUAGCGUUGCAAAUCCUUAAAAGAGUCUUACGAAAUCCUGGCUGACAUUGACUUCUCCACUGCAACCAUCGAGUUCAUUGUCUCCUAAACCUUGCCAUGGAGGCCUGUGGCACCUGAGCCAGCCAUUAUCAUCACCAGCACUUCCAUGAGCUACAAGCUGGACCCACUGCAGUCCUCCUGACACACUGAAAUCAGAGCCUGCACACAGAGCAGCAGAUGCUUCAAUGUAAAGGUCAUUUCCAGGUCCUUGACAGGCGUGCAUCUGGGCCAGAUCCAUGGCAAUAACCUUCAGGUUGAGGCUAGAGGGCUUCAGAUGGGCAGCUUCGAAUGACAGGAGCAAGGACCAAGAGGCCGGAAAGGGAGGGUGACAUUUUCAGCAUCUAUAAGAUCAACUUUAGAAAUAUUUGGGGGUUGACAAAUUCCCAUCAAGCUCUGUGGAUCUUGUACAACUGCUCACCACCGGCUUCUCAUCAGCACAUGAUUGGUGCAGGGUUCUGAGGAUGAUUUUGAGAUGUUCCCUGAUGUGGUCUUGUGAGAUUUCAUGACAGAUGGCAGGAAGCUUCGUGGAGAGAUUUCUGAAGACACUCCUGAGCUCCCAACACCGGGCAACUCUCUUGCAGAGGAUAGUGGGGUGGAGGGUAGAAGAGAGGCAAAGUCAGGUUUGUCCUUCAGAUCCCCUUCAUUCUCCUUUUGCCACUGUAAACCAACUUUUGCUUACAGUUAGACACCAGUUUUCGGCAGAUGAAAUCCCUCUGAUUUCAGGCAUUUUGUCAAUUAAGCUGCUCAGCAAAAAUAGGAUAAACUUAUGAAAAGAAAGGAGUAGCAGUCCCACAGACAAAGCAUCCAGCCCCUGCACUGAGACAGUAUAGGGAAGGGACUUGGUCCUGGCAGACAAGACAGAUAAUCAACAUCCUAGUGGGCCUCACACAUGUGGGCAUAUUCUUUUCCAUACCUUCUUGUCUCUUUUAACAAGCUAACCCCAGUCACAGUAGCAGAGAGAGGGUCCAUCCUAACUUAGCUGACCAGGCUGGAUUCCUAAUCAUAAAACCAAAAAAGGAAGAACCUAACCAUUUAUCUCUUUCAGCUAUGUGUUCCAAGAUUACUGAAGCAGGAUUCUGGCCUUCCUGAUAAUAACAUGACCAGAUCCAGCUGGUUUGCAACAAGAUGAACUUCAGUGCUGAGCUUUCACCAAGUUUUUCUCAUUACAAUCGCAUUGUAAUACUAAAAUCUCCACCCAAGAUGGAGGUUAUCUGCCAUUUUCUGUACAUGUGUUACCAGAAAGGGGUCCUGAUCCAGACCCCAAAAGAGGAUUCUUGGAUCUCAUGCAACAAAGAGUUCGGGGCGAGUCCAUAGAGUAAAGUGAAAGCAAGUUCAUCAAGAAAGCAAAGGAAUAAAGAAUGCCUACUCCAUAGGCAGAGCAGUGGCUUUGGCUGCUCAGCUGCUUGUACUUGUUACUUCUUGAGUAUAUGCUAAACAAGGGAUUGAUUACUCCUUGUUUAGCAGUUUUCUGGGAAAGGAGUGGGCAAUUCCCAGAACUGAGGGUUCCUCCCCUUUUUUAGACCAUAUAGGGUGACUUCCUGAUGUUGCCAUGGCAUUUGUAAACUGUCAUGGCGCUAGUGGGAGUGUCUUUUAGCAUGCUAAUGCAUGAGCAGUGAGGAUGACCCGAGGUCAUUUUUGUUACCAUCUUGGUUUUGGUGGGUUUUGGCUGGUUUUGGCCGGCUUCUUUACCACUUCUUUUUAUCAGCAAGGUCUUUGUGACCUGUACUUAGUGCCGACCUCCUAUCUCAUCCUGUGAGUAAGAAUGCCUAAUCUCUCAGGAAGGCAGCCCAGUAGGUCUCAACCUUAUUUUACCCAGCCCCCAUUCAAGAUGGAGUGACUCUGGUUCAUGCGUGGUCAAAUGCCUCUGACACAUGCGCCUCAUGUUUGGGCAUGAGACCUCACUGUGUAGGUGCAGAGAAGACCCUGCCUAAACAUUGCCUAACGUUGCUCCUUUUUCCUGCCUCAACUUCCUUAAAAUGACAAGAGCAGAGCCCUUUUGGGAGCUAACAUCAGGACUCCUUUUUUGUACUCUGCUCCGUUGUGCUGCUAGAGCCACAAGCCUAUUAAACUUUGCCUGAAAUAAAUUCCUAUUUGCGCUGGUGUUAAUUUUUACUUAUGAGUGAGCCAAGAACUCAGGCCAGAGUUGCGGUAACACCACCAGAAGAGGUCUCCGCUUGUCAGACUUGAGGGAUAUCAUCAAUGAGCCUCUGAGCUAAUGGUGUAAACCAAAAAUAAAAUUCUAAGCCCCCCGCCAGCCAAACCAUCUGAAUGGACUUCCUCCUCAGCCAGGGCGCUCUUAAAAUUUAACCUGAGAGACUGGUUCAGGUCAUGAUGGGAAGUAGGGGUUGGACAUGCCUCAUUAUACCUCUCCAGCAUUAACAUCAACAUAAACCCUAAGUCUAAGAAACUUUUACAACCUAUUCUCUCUGAAGCCGACUACCUUGGAGGCUUCAUAUGUUUCAUAAAAUUUUGGUCUCCACAACCUCUUACUUCAACCCAGAUAUUUCCUUUCUAUUGAUCCCAGGUCUUUAGAUAAACUUAACCAAUCGUCAACCAAAAAUUUUUAAAAUCUGCCUAUAAACUGGAAGCUCCGCACUCCACUCCCCUCCCCGCCCUUCGAGUUGUCCUGCCUUUCUGGACAGAACCAAUGUAUUUCUUAAAUGUACUUGAAGUCUCAUGUCUCCCUAAAAUAUAUAAAACCCAGCUGCUCCCUGACCACCUUGGGUACAUGUUCUCAGGGUCUCCUGAGGGCUGUGUCAUGGGUUAUAGUCACUCAAAUUUGGCUUAGAAUAAAUCUCUCCAAAUAUUUUACAAA